UUACUCAAAUAUCAAGGGGAACAGCUCUGGCAAGGUGGUGGUUUUCCCAGGAUGAGGCUCCAUCCCUCAGCACGCUCGCUGGGUGUGCUAACCCCUCAAUUUCCCUAAAUACUGGGAACUUGGCUAUAUCAUUUGUGGUAGUGAAAGGCUGUAUUUGUGUUUUCUCCUG
rnacentral:snRNA from 1 species